rnacentral:rRNA from 1 species
GGUAUUCUGACCGUGCGAAGGUAGCGUAAUCACUUGUCUUUUAAAUAAAGACUGGAAUGAAUGGCUARACGAGGCUUUACCUGUCUCUUWCGGGUAAUCAGUGAAAUUGAUCUCYUCGUGCAAAAGCGAGRAUMAUAACAUAAGACGAGAAGACCCUGUGGRACUUUAAAUAUGACUAAACAAUAAGAAACCCACCAACCGACACGGCCCACCAACCACAAUCUUUCAUUAGCCUUAUUUUCGGUUGGGGUGACCUCGGAGRAAAACCAAACCUCCGAAGAUUUACACCRAGAAAAACAAAUCAAAGUGCCCACGGCUAAWCGAUCCAAUACAUUUGAUUAAUGAACCAAGCUACCCCAGGGAUAACAGCGCAAUCCCCUCUUAGAGUCCCUAUCAACGAUGGGGGUUUACGACCUCGAUGUUGGAUCAGGACAUCCUAAUGGUG